rnacentral:misc_RNA from 1 species
GAAAUGCGAUAAUUAAUGUGAAUUGCAGAAUUCAGUGAAUCAUCGAGUCUUUGAACGCACAUUGCGCCCCCUGGUAUUCCGGGGGGCAUGCCUGUCCGAGCGUCAUUGCUGCCCUCAAGCACGGCUUGUGUGUUGGGCUUCCGUCCCUGGCAACGGGGACGGGCCCAAAAGGCAGUGGCGGCACCAUGUCUGGUCCUCGAGCGUAUGGGGCUUUGUCACCCGCUCCCGUAGGUCCAGCUGGUAGCUAGCCUCGCAACCAAUCUUUUUAACCAGGUUGACCUCGGAUCAGGUAGGGAUACCCGCUGAACUUAAGCA